UCUACAAGUUCCCUCACUGAUGAGCAACACAAUCCAUACCGUGAAAUGGUCAUUGAUGCUUUUAGGAAUAACCAUGAAACAUUGGGUCAUACAGAGACUAGUGACGGUUUUGAGGAAGAACCUAAUGAUCAAGCUAAAGAGUUUUUUUGACCUUUUACGGGCUUCCUAGAAACCACUGUAUGAGGGGAGCUCCAUGUCUGUGUUGGAAAUGGCUUCUAGAAUUGUAUCUAUGAAGUGUGAAUACAAUUUGCCUCAUCGGUGCGUUGAUGCAUUUGCUUCUUUACUAAAUGAGGUAUUACAUAACAACAACAUGGGUAAGACAUUUUAUGAUACAAAGAAGAUUCUUAAAGGUUUGGAGCUUCUCCAUGAGAAAAUUCAUGUAUGCCCGAAAGGUUGCAUGUUAUUUUGGAGAGCUGAUGCUCAAUUGGACAAGUGUAGAGUGUGUCAAAGCAACAGAUACAAGAAAACUUCACAAGGGUCUUUGCUACCGCUGAAACCCCUCACUUAUUUCUUAAUCACUCCUAGGUUGCAAAGGUUGUAUGCAACCAAGAAUGUUGCCGAAGAAAUGACUUGGCACUCUAAAAAUCCUCGAAUCCAAGGCAUCAUGGCACAUCCUAGUGAUAGUGAAGCUUGGAAGCACUUGGACACAUCAUUUCCCGAGUUUUGAUCAGAACCUCGUAAUGUGCGACUCGGAUUGUGUACCGAUGGGUUUGCUCCUCAAGGUAAGUUUGGUGGUCAAUAUUUUUGUUGGCCGUUGAUUUUAACCCCUUACAACUUGCCUCUUUCUAUGUGCAUGAAAAAGCCAUUCAUGUUCUUGUCCUUGCUUAUUUCGGGUUCUAAGAAUCCAAAAGGGAAUUUGGAUGUUUACAUGCAACCUCUAGUCGAGAAUUUGAAGAAAUUAUGGGAUGUUGGUGCAACAACUUAUGACAUUUCUAGAAAGUAGAAUUUUAAUCUGCGUGCUGCCAUUCUGUGGACAAUAAGUGAUUUUCUGGCCUAUGGUAUGCUUUCUGGUUAGGCUACAGCCGGGAAAAAGGCUUGCCCUUACUGUAUGGACAAGGCUAAAACGUUUUGGCUUGACCAUGGGGGUAAAGUCUCGUGGUUUGAUUGUCAUAGACAAUUCCUUUCUGUUGAUCACCCAUUUCGUAACAACAAAGUCGCCUUCUGUAGAAACAAGGUGGAGAAGAGUCAUCCACCACACAUCUUGUCCGACGAGGAGUUGUGGCAGUGUGUUAAAGAAAUGCCAAAAGCUACGGAUGGCCCCAAAGCUCUUGAAAGACUUAAAAAGUCGAAAAAGAGUUGGUUCAAACAAAGCACUUUAUGGGAGCUACCGUAUUGGAAGACUCUAUUGGUACACCAUAACCUAGAUGUCAUGCAUAUUGAGAAGAAUUUUUUUGACCAACUGUUUCAUACUGUUAUGGAUGAGAAAAAAGACUUGCGACACACCCGCCGCCCGAAAAAAUAUUGCCAAGUUUUGUAAACGUCCACAUCUCCAUGUUAUGGAGGAUGCUCGAGGAAACGAAACUAUAUCGAAGGCACCAUUCUCCCUCGAUAGGGCCCAAAAACUGGUACUAUGCAAUUGGGUCAAAGAUUUGAAGUUUCAGGACGAUUAUGCUUCUGACUUGGCAAGGUGUGUAGACUUACAAUCGUGUAAGCUAUAUGGUAUGAAAAGCCACGAUUGCUAUGUCUUUAUAGAGAGAUUGUUACCGGUUGCUUUCAAGGAAUUGCUCUCUCUUCAUGUGUGGAAAGCCAAUACUGAGAAGUUUAUUCUUUCGUGACUUGUGUUGUUCCACAAUCACCUUGACAUUGAAAGGUAGGAACACAACAUUGCUUAGAUAUUGUGUAAGCUUGAGAAGAUAUUUCCUCCAUCAUUCUUCAAUUUCAUGGAACAUUUACCUGUCCACUUGCCAUAUGAAGCUCGGUUAUGUGGACAUGUUCAUUACCAUUGGAUGUAUCCGUUUGAAAGGUUUCUUAAUCAUUUAAAACGCAAAAUUGGCAACAAAGCCCGUGUUGAAGGGUCCAUUUGCAUGGCAUACCUUGCCGAAGAGAUAUCAAACUUUUGUAGCAAGUACUUUCAGGAAGGUGUAGAUCCGAAAACUAGGGACCUACCACAAAAGGUUCAUAAUGAUGUUCAAAGUAACUUGGAUGAAAGUGUCCCAAAAUGCUUUAGGGUUGAUUACGGACGUCCUUCCACCAGAGGUGUUCUUCGGUUCUUGGAUGAGGCUGAACUUAUACGAGCACACUUGUAUGUGUUAGCUAAUAUUGGAAUUUUAGAGCACUACGAGAGGGGUUUUGAGGAGUACAUUCUACAUACUUGACCCACAAUGCGUAAAUAUGAUGUGUGGGUUCAUCAUGAAGUUGAGUUCCUCGAAUGGUUUAGGAUGAAAGUGAUUCAAGAUAAGCCGGAUGAUGACGUAUUGUUUGCUUUAGCAAUGGGUCCAUCAAAACGAGUGCGCACUUGGAACCAGUACUAUGUUAACGGAUACAAAUUCCAGACUCAUGCACAUGGAAUGCAUAAAUCAACCCAGAAUUAUGAUGUUUGGGUGUCAAAUGAGGAAGGUGGAGAUUUUUUUUUGUAUCUUACAGGAUGUCAUUGAGCUUGAGUUCACUAGUGUGACCACAGUUUAUAAAAGUGUUUUGUCCAAGUGCAAUUGGAUGGACCCGACAAGGGGCAUGAAUGUUGAUCAUUACAAACUAUUAGAAGUCAAUCACACAAAGAAAUACCCCAAGUACGAUCCUUUUGUGCUAUCAUACUAGGCAAAGCAGGUGUACUUUGCGCCGUACCCUAGUUUGAAAAAAGAUCGUGCUCAAUGGUGCGCUGUGCUUAAGACUAAGGCAAGGUCUACUGUUGAUGCUCCAGUAGAUGACGAGGUUUUACAAGAAACACAUGUUGAGGCACCAACCUUGAGUGCUCCGGAUGAUAUUCCUGGGUACGAGGACGGCGAUGAUUCUGAUGAAGAAGAUAUCCCAUACAUUGAACCCCCUUUGGAGGAGUCAAACUUUGAGGACUCAACCGAUAGUAAUGAUGCUGAAGACGCUAUUUUUUGGGAUGAUGAUACUGAUGAGGACGAUUAUAGUGAUGAAGGGGAUGCAUGAGAACCUCUAGAGUUUGUGUAAUCGGAUAGUUUUAUAUGUAAUAAUUUUCUACGGUUUUCUAUCCUAAUUUUUCUGUUUUAUUUAUCAGAAUUGAAUCUCCUGCUUUUUGCUUCAUGACAUUAUUGCUAACAUGAUAUCAAUUUCGAUUUUAGGCAAGAAUUAGAUGGUAUAUAUUCUUAUUCUAGGGUUCAUGUAGUAUCAAUUUUUGCGUUUUUGGUUUGAAUUUUUUACUUGCGUGUUCAAUUGCAAUUUUAUUUUUCUCUUUUGUUGAUUUCUGCUGCAUUUGAUAGUUUAUAUUGCUAUAAUUGCUGGUUAUUUUGUGUUUUCCCACCUAAAUUGCUGCUGUUGCCAUUGCUUCUUGAAGGGGUUGUUGGAGUUUCUGAUUUUUUACUAAAGGGUCCAAGACGUCAGCUUUGUUAUAUGCCCAAUGAAUUUUAGAACUAGAAUUCACUAGGGGGUUUAAAAAUUUGGGAAAUAAAUCUGAAAUUUUGGCUAAUUUUAGUAAAAAUUUGGGGGUUGGAUCCCCAAAUGUAAAUUUCUAAUGCUGAGGAUCACCAAUAUAAAUUUCUGAUGCUACUUGAUUUAUUUGGUCUCAUAUGAUUUUUUUUGCCCAGGUUCUUAUGACAUUAGGUAAACGACGAGUUUUGGUACGGGGGGUCACUGGCUAUAGGAAGGAACUUUUCCCAUCGUCACAAACGCAAAACAGCCAGGGUAGUCAUGUUCCAGAGACACCAAUAGAUGACAGUCAUGUUUCAGAGACACCGAUACCAAAGACCCCAGUAGAUGACUCUGAGACAUAGUAUUUUGGAUCCCCUCUAAUUAAUGCUAGUACACCAGCUACCCAGAAUACGUCUACACCUGUUGUUGAGCCUGGUGAGAGUUCUUUCCAAGGGCUGAGACGGACUUUACACCCUGACGGGUUAUGGUUCCAUAACCAUAAAGUGUCCAAUGCAAUCACAGACAUCAUCCAGGCUCACUUUCGCAAACCUUGGAUUAACUACAAGAAGGUCGACAAUGGCACUAGGACUCAUUGGUGGAACCAGUUUAAGGAUCGGUUCAUUUGGCCUCCAGACUUGCAGAGUGUUGUUGAAAUAGAGUACAAGAAGAAGGCUGCAAAACAUUUGAGCGACUUGUCCUACAAUUAUAGUGUUAGAAAUCCAGAACGUCCAUUCUGGAUGGGAGAAACUGUCUUUGCAGAAUUAUUGGCUCUUCGGAAGGAUGAUAAGUUCUUAAAGAAGUCUGAACAAGCUAAAAAGAACUGAAGAGGCGGUACCCUAUCUAAUCCUAUUGAACCGUCACACUUCCAGGCAAAGGAUCUGGUGGAGUUCUCCCGUCCGCCCCUGAGGUGUUCUUAAAGACCCAUUUCAAGGACGUUCCCGGUAAAGGAAAAGUGCCAGCCAAUAAGAGGGCUAGAGAGAUCGCAAUAAUAUCCAAUAAUUGUUAUUCAAUUUAUUAUCUGAAUUAUAUGCAUAAUAAUAACCAUUUUGAGUAAGUUUUAUGCAACUUUAACUAGAAUUAGUAGAAAUGUUAGAAAUGUGAUCUAAAUGUGGUUAUUUCCAGUGUUACAAACUUCAGUGCAUGCAUAAAACAGAUGGUAAAAC